rnacentral:tRNA from 1 species
GACUCGGUAGCUAAGUCGGUAAAGCACUUGUGUGGUUGUGAGUUAAAAUCUCACUUGAGAUG